GGCACGGUGGUCUAGCGGUUAGAACGCUGGUCUUGUAAUCCUGGGGUCUCGGGUUCGAUUCCCGGCGGUGCCC
rnacentral:tRNA from 1 species